UACCAGCUCUCCGAGUGGUGUGGAUGUUUAUUGGGCCUAAAGCAUCCGUAGCUGGCUGGGCAAGUCCCCUGUUAAAUCCACCGAUUUAAUCGUUGGUGUGCGGGGGAUACUGUUCGGCUAGGGGACGGGAGAGGCCGACGGUAUUUUCGGGGUAGGGGUGAAAUCCUAUAAUCCCGGGAAGACCACCAGUGGCGAAGGCUGUCGGCUAGAACGCGCCCGACGGUGAGGGAUGAAAGCUAGGGGAGCGAACCGGAUUAGAUACCCGGGUAGUCCCAGCUGUAAACGAUGCAGGCUAGGUGUUUGGGCGGCCACGUGCCGCUCUAGUGCCGCAGAGAAGUCGUUAAGCCUGCCGCCUGGGGAGUACGGCCGCAAGGCUGAAACUUAAAGGAAUUGGCGGGGGAGCACCACAAGGGGUGAAGCUUGCGGUUU
rnacentral:rRNA from 1 species